CUACGGGUUGCACCAGUGGGGAAUAUUGCACAAUGGGCGCAAGCCUGAUGCAGCCAUGCCGCGUGUAUGAAGAAGGCCUUCGGGUUGUAAAGUACUUUCAGCGGGGAGGAAGGGAGUAAAGUUAAUACCUUUGCUCAUUGAUGUUACCCGCAGAAGAAGCACCGGCUAACUCCGUGCCAGCAGCCGCGGUAAUACGGAGGGUGCAAGCGUUAAUCGGAAUUACUGGGCGUAAAGCGCACGCAGGCGGUUUGUUAAGUCAGAUGUGAAAUCCCCGGGCCCAACCUGGGAACUGCAUCUGAUACUGGCAAGCUUGAGUCUCGUAGAGGGGGGUAGAAUUCCAGGUGUAGCGGUGAAAUGCGUAGAGAUCUGGAGGAAUACCGGUGGCGAAGGCGGCCCCCUGGACGAAGACUGACGCUCAGGUGCGAAAGCGUGGGGAGCAAACAGGAUUAGAUACCCCAGUAGUC
rnacentral:rRNA from 1 species